GGGCCCGCACAAGCGGUGGAGUAUGUGGUUUAAUUCGAAGAUACGCGCAGAACCUUACCAACACUUGACAUGUUCGUCGCGACUUUAAGAGAUUAAAGUUUUCGGUUCGGCCGGACGAAACACAGGUGCUGCAUGGCUGUCGUCAGCUCGUGUCGUGAGAUGUUGGGUUAAGUCCCGCAACGAGCGCAACCCUCACUUUUAGUUGCCAUCAUUAAGUUGGGCACUCUGAAAGAACUGCCAGUGAUAAGCUGGAGGAAGGUGGGGAUGACGUCAAGUCCUCAUGGCCCUUACGUGUUGGGCUACACACGUGCUACAAUGGUAUUUACAACAGGAAGCAAGACUGCGAAGUUAAG
rnacentral:rRNA from 1 species